rnacentral:misc_RNA from 1 species
GUAGGUGAACCUGCGGAAGGAUCAUUCACAAUAAAUGUUCAGUGGUUUUGUGUACAUUUGCAUUGGUUUUUUGUCAGACCCGGGCUCUUGGAGCUUGGGCUUGACAAAGCACUCGUGCGUUUGUAUCUUUUCCACUGGCACGACUUUUGUUGUGCACCUUUGUGCAAAGUAAAUAACUUUACUCAAUUUUAUAACUUGACUGAAAAUUUUUCAUUAUUUUAAUUGAACAUUGAACGAUAACUUUUGUUGC